rnacentral:rRNA from 1 species
CCUACGGGAGGCAGCAGUGGGGAAUAUUGCGCAAUGGGGGAAACCCUGACGCAGCAACGCCGCGUGAGUGAGGAAGGACUUCGGUCUGUAAAGCUCUGUUAAUGAGGAAAAAUGGUAGUUGGUCUAAUAGGCCGAUUAUUUGAUGGUACUCAUAGAGGAAGCACCGGCUAACUUCGUGCCAGCAGCCGCGGUAAUACGAAGGGUGCAAGCGUUGUUCGGAUUUAUUGGGCGUAAAGCGCGCGUAGGCGGACCCGCAAGUCAGAUGUGAAAUCUCGAGGCUCAACCUCGAAACUGCGUCUGAAACUACGGGUCUAGAAUCUCGGAGGGGGAAGGGGAAUUUCGCAUGUAGGGGUAAAAUCCGUAGAUAUGCGAAGGAACACCAGAGGCGAAGGCGCCUUCCUGGACGAGUAUUGACGCUGAGGCGCGAAAGCGUGGGGAUCAAACAGGAUUAGAUACCCCGGUAGUCCACGCUGUAAACGAUGAACACUAGGUAUUGGAGGAUUUGACCCCUUCAGUGCCGUAGCUAACGCGUUAAGUGUUCCGCCUGGGAAGUACGGUCGCAAGACUAAAACUCAAAGGAAUUGACGGCUGAGACGNGCGAGCGACACGAGGAGAG